rnacentral:tRNA from 1 species
GGUCUGGUAGCUCAGUUGGUUAGAGUGCAUGCCUGUCACGCAUGAAGUCGCGGGUUCGAGUCCCGUCCGGACCG